ACUGUACUGAUGGCCUGUACUGAAGAAGAAAGACUAGCCUGCUGAGAUGUGCUCCUAACUGCUAGGAAUAACUAAAUCUUCAGGGAACUGUGUGGUGGUGUUUUUUAAAGUGAUAGAGGAGGUGGUGUUGGAUCCAUUGGUGUCCUCAUCCUUCAAUUCAUGAUGAUGAUGAUGAUAAACUAAAAAAUUACAAGGGAGAGUGUUAGGACAUGAAGGCUUUAUCUUUCAUAGUUCUAGAAGCUAAAUUAUGCAACAGAUAUAUUUUCUCAUCUCUAGAGAGGAUGGAAUUUGUCCCUUUCUGUGUAUACUGCAUACCCAAACCAGACAAAUGCAGAGUGCAACUCAAAGGGAUUGAACAGCGGGGAGAACAGGGUGCUCUAGGAUUGAAUUUCAGAACUGCAUUGACUUCAACAAGAGCUGAAGGCAUAAUCCUCCUCCUGGAAAUCGGAUCAUAAGUGCCUGCAAAUCUCUUAUAAGGAACUAAUUGUUGUAAUUUGCUAUCAUGAAUAAA